rnacentral:rRNA from 1 species
AGCGGCGGACGGGUGAGUAAUGCCUAGGAAAUUGCCCUGAUGUGGGGGAUAACCAUUGGAAACGAUGGCUAAUACCGCAUGAUGCCUACGGGCCAAAGAGGGGGACCUUCGGGCCUCUCGCGUCAGGAUAUGCCUAGGUGGGAUUAGCUAGUUGGUGAGGUAAGGGCUCACCAAGGCGACGAUCCCUAGCUGGUCUGAGAGGAUGAUCAGCCACACUGGAACUGAACACGGUCCAGACUCCUACGGGAGGCAGCAGUGGGGAAUAUUGCACAAUGGGCGCAAGCCUGAUGCAGCCUGCCGCGUGUAUGAAAAGGCCUUCGGGUUGUAAAGUACUUUCAGUCGUGAGGAAGGCGGCGUCGUUAAUAGCGGCGUUGUUUGACGUUAGCGACAGAAGAAGCACCGGCUAACUCCGUGCCAGCAGCCGCGGUAAUACGGAGGGUGCGAGCGUUAAUCGGAAUUACUGGGCGUAAAGCGCAUGCAGGUGGUUUGUU